AUGUUAAUUAGUGCUGUUUAAUUAAGUAAAAUUCAAAAUAGAUAAACACAGCAGAUUUUCUAUAGAAAAUACAAUAUACCCAAUCUUCUCUUACCUUUUAAUUUUCUCACUUUCCUUACCCUUACUUCCCCCCAUUUCCACAUACAAUAAGCAGCAACUUCCAAGGACUCCAUUCACAGAGCCUUCGUCAGGCAAGGAGCAGUGACGUCUCGAUCAAAUAUUGGAGAAUCCUUCGUUUCUGUUCCAGUAUAUAAAACUAGCCUAUAUAUAUAUACGCUUAUAUAUUUUCAAUGUUCAGAGAAAAGCUGAGGGAAAACAUGAGAAACGAAGGGAAAACAGGGAAAGAAUGAAGAGAAAGUGGGGAGAAAAUCUACCUUGUAUCGUUCUCAAGAAAUCUGAUCACUUGCAGUUUUUUAUUCCUUUAAGUUUUACUAUACACCAGGAAAUAUUAUUACAACUGGGAUAAAGGAAUUAAACGGCCUGGAACUUCAAGGACUAAACUCUGGCAUUUGCGGUGGAAUAAAGGCUGUAAAAACCAGAAGGGACAUGAUCAUGACUGGUGCAAAUAGAAGAAUCGAUGGCGGAGGUGGCAAAGGAGGAAAGAUUGGCGGCAGGACAAGAAGCGACACCGUGAAGACAACCAUAAUGACUACCGAUCUUGAGAAAUUACACCUCAACAUCAAACCUUGAAUAAGCCAGCCAACCCCUUUUAGUCUGUGAUGCAGAACUCGUCGUGAUCAUGAGCAAUCGAGUUCAUUGGAUUCCAUUGCUGAAGGGCUAAGGAAAUUUUGGGAAGAAAGGGAUUUAAAUGAAAAGGAAAUGUUGGAAGGAGCUAAUACAAGCAGUUAUGAGUUGCUGUCAAAGACUAUAGUUACAUAUGUGUACUGAUUCAGCUAACCUAAAUCGAUGCACAGUGGACAAAGGAAAGCAAAUGCCAAUUUUCACGAGACAUGGUUUGUUUUUUUCUUUUGAGUGGGGUUUACGAUGUUGUCAAUGAUAGGGUAUGUAGUUUACAAUGUCAGAACAGUUAUGGCUGCGUUUGCUAUU
rnacentral:lncRNA from 1 species